rnacentral:rRNA from 1 species
CCUACGGGUGGCAGCAGUCGAGAAUUUUUCUCAAUGGGGGAAACCCUGAAGGAGCGACGCCGCGUGGAGGAUGAAGGUCUUCGGAUUGUAAACUCCUGUCAUUUGGGAACUAGUACCAGAAGAGGAAGAGACGGCUAACUCUGUGCCAGCAGCCGCGGUAAUACAGAGGUCUCAAGCGUUGUUCGGAUUCAUUGGGCGUAAAGGGUGCGUAGGUGGCGGGGUAAGUCAGGUGUGAAAUCUCGGGGCUCAACCCCGAAACUGCACUUGAUACUGCCUUGCUCGAGUACUGGAGAGGAGAUUGGAAUUUACGGUGUAGCAGUGAAAUGCGUAGAUAUCGUAAGGAAGACCAGUGGCGAAGGCGAAUCUCUGGACAGUACUGACACUGAGGCACGAAGGCCAGGGGAGCAAACGGGAUUAGAUACCCUUGUAGUC